GAUGAACGCUGGCGGCGUGCCUAAUACAUGCAAGUCGAGCGAACAGACGAGGAGCUUGCUCCUCUGACGUUAGCGGCGGACGGGUGAGUAACACGUGGAUAACCUCCCUAUAAUACUGGGAUAACUUCGGGACACCGGAGCUAAUACCGGAUAAUAUAUUUAACCGCAUGGUUCAAUAGUGAAAGACGGUUUUGCUGUCACUUCUCGAUGGAUCCGCGCCGCAUUAGCUAGUUGGUAAGGUAACGGCUUACCAAGGCAACGAUGCGUAGCCGACCUGAGAGGGUGAUCGGCGACACUGGAAAUGAGACACGGUACAGACUCCUACGGGAGGCAGCAGUAGGGAAUCUGCCGCAAUGGGCGAAAGCAUGACGGAGCAAAGACGAGUGAGAGAUGAAGGUCUUCGGAUCGUAAAACUGUAUUAUUGGGGAAGAACAAAUGUGUAAGUAACUAAGCACGGAUUGACGGUACCUAAUAAGAAAGCAACGGCUAACUAAGUG
rnacentral:rRNA from 1 species